AUGUCUGGCUGUGGUUGUGGAAGCAGUUGCAACUGUGGUGAUAGCUGCAAAUGCAACAAGAGGUCUAGUGGAUUGAGCUACUCCGAAAUGGAAACCAAAGAAACCAAAGAAACUGUGAUUCUUGGCUUCGGUCCGGCGAAGAUCCAUUUUGAUGGUGCUGAAAUGAGUGUUGCUUCUAAGGAAGAAGGCUGCAAGUGUGGUGAUAAGUGCACUUGUGAUCCUUGUAACUGUUAA